UACCGGCGGCUCGAGUGGUGGCCGAUAUUAUUGAGUCUAAAGGGUCCGUAGCCGGCUUUGCAAGUCUUUUGGGAAAUCCAGCGGCUUAACCGUUGGGCGUCCAAGGGAUACUACAUUGCUUGGGACUGGGAGAGGCGUGAGGUACUCAGGGGGUAGGAGUGAAAUCCUGUAAUCCUUUGGGGACCACCGGUGGCGAAGGCGUCACGCCAGAACAGGUCCGACGGUGAGGGACGAAAGCUAGGGGCACGAACCGG
rnacentral:rRNA from 1 species